AAGUGUUUCUCCAUUUAUCAGCUAGAGACGGAGACAGAAAAAACGAGCAAAAAAGUGGAAGUAAAGACACCUGCGCACUCGGAAAAAGAAAAGAAGGCUUACUGGUUGCGUCUAAUUGAAAGCACUCGUCGACUUUUUGUUGCUUUUCACGAAAUAGUGCGUGUGCGCAGGAGACAAAUCCGGGGCUUUUGCAGAGAGAAAACGUGUUGAAAUGAUGUUAUCAGCAGAAAUCGAUAGUGAUACAGGCAAAGGCGCGCUCGACUGUGAACUUAGGAGUGAAGGGCGUUUCUCGAACGGACAACAGCUGUUUCAAUAGAAUACGUCGACAGAGAACUG
ensembl:ncRNA B0457.18 ncRNA